CUCCCAUUGUAUGUGUGUGUUUGUAGCCACACUGGAGGUAACCUGGGAGGAGGCUGUGAGUCGGCCUAAUGCUGCUGUAAUUGCCCACUGGCCCCUGGUUUUUGCUUAUCACGCACAGCUGCUGAGACAACAAUGAGCUGUAAUGAUCGGAAUAAAUGUGGAUUUAAAGAUGCAAAAAGAAAGGAUCAAGGGUUUCCAGCCAGCAAGUUCUGAGCCAGCACAAGGACUGAUCACCAGCAGAGAUUAUGAGACUAUUGACCACGCCGUAGGGACGAGGCAGCUACAUCCAUAACAGUAAUGAAUCACAGGUAACACUCUCCAUGGGGAAUGGAUUAACAGCCAAGCAUCAUCCAUAGAUGAAUGUGCACAGUGAACUUCUUUUAGGAUUAUAUAGUCUUGCAUCUACUUUAACCCUUUAACGUCCAAUGACAAUUGGCUAAAUGUUAUUUUUG